rnacentral:rRNA from 1 species
GAUGAACGCUAGCGGGAGGCCUAACACAUGCAAGCCGAGCGGUAUUGUUUCUUCGGAAAUGAGAGAGCGGCGUACGGGUGCGUAACACGUGUGCAACCUGCCUUUAUCUGGGGGAUAGCCUUUCGAAAGGAAGAUUAAUACUCCAUAAUAUAUUGAACGGCAUCGUUUAAUAUUGAAAGCUCCGGCGGAUAGAGAUGGGCACGCGCAAGAUUAGCUAGUUGGUGAGGUAACGGCUCACCAAGGCGAUGAUCUUUAGGGGGCCUGAGAGGGUGAUCCCCCACACUGGUACUGAGACACGGACCAGACUCCUACGGGAGGCAGCAGUGAGGAAUAUUGGUCAAUGGGUGCAAGCCUGAACCAGCCAUCCCGCGUGAAGGACGACUGCCCUAUGGGUUGUAAACUUCUUUUGUACAGGGAUAAACCUACCCUCGAGAGGGUAGCUGAAGGUACUAUACGAAUAAGCACCGGCUAACUCCGUG